rnacentral:misc_RNA from 1 species
UUUCCGUAGGUGAACCUGCGGAAGGAUCAUUAAUGAGCUCUGAAUGAAGUCGUUCUGUUCUUUCGGGGCAUGUGAACGCUUCUCUCAGUCCUCCGUACACCUGUGCACCUAUCGGGGAUGACUUGGAUCUUAGUGUCGUCAUGACGGCGAUCUACAGUCUCCUCUUUAUGCCAAAUAACAGUUUUAGAAAGUCUUUUUUGCUUGAUGCAAACUUAAAUAAAUACAACUUUCAGCAACGGAUCUCUUGGCUCUC